CUGGGCCGACACUUAUCCGGCCGUCGCCAAGCAUGCCUUCACGUUUCUGUUCAAUCAGGCGGAGUUCGGGCUUGGCUGUCCGAUCAAUGUCACCGACGGCGCGCGCGGCGCGUCUGUUGUCGCGGUUUGGCGACGACGCACUGAAAGCAAAGUAUCUCGACGGCCUCACGCAAACCGACAUGUCAAAGCUGACCCAGGGCGGCCAGUUCAUGA
rnacentral:misc_RNA from 1 species